rnacentral:rRNA from 1 species
GAUGAACGCUGGCGGCAGGCCUAACACAUGCAAGUCGAGCGGGGUUUUCGGACCUAGCGGCGGACGGGUGAGUAAUGCGUAGGAAGCUACCCGAUAGAGGGGGAUACCAGUUGGAAACGACUGUUAAUACUGCAUAAUGUCUACGGACCAAAGUGUGGGACCUUCGGGCCACAUGCUGUCGGAUGCGCCUACGUGGGAUUAGCUAGUUGGUGAGGUAAUGGCUCACCAAGGCGACGAUCCCUAGCUGGUUUGAGAGGAUGAUCAGCCACACUGGAACUGAGACACGGUCCAGACUCCUACGGGAGGCAGCAGUGGGGGAAUAUUGGACAAUGGGGGGGAACCCGUGAUCCAGCAAUGCCGCGUGUGUGAAGAAGGCCUGAGGGUUGUAAAGCACUUUCAGUGGGGAGGAGGGUUGAUAGGUUAAGAGCUAAUUAACUAGGACGUUACCUAUAGAAGAAGGACACCGGCUAACUCCGUGCCAGCAGCCG